AUGUCGAGCGCCGCCACCACCGGUUCCACUGCUGCGGGGUUCCUCCCGGCCUCUCUUGCGGCUCUGCUCAACCUCCCGCUCGAUGCCGUCGCCGUUCCGGCUCCGAUCGGGUCCAGGAGCAUCGGCUCCGUCUACUCCACGCCGCCGGCGCCCUCGCUUGGGCGCGACCUCGUGGUCCACACCGCGGCGCCGCCGUCCGCUGCGGACUCCGCGGGCGUCGUCCCGCUGCUCCUGCCGCCAGCGGAUCACACCGCCCCGCUGGCGGGGUUGGCGGCGUCCGCCCCGGCCGCGGGCCUUGCGGCGUCCGACCCGGCCGCGAGCUUUACGGCGUCCGCCCUGGCUGCGGUCCCGCCUCCUCCCGCAUCGGCUUCGGUGCCUCCGGCUGCCUCCAUGGUGUUUGCACCCCAGGCAGCCCCCUCGAUGGGAUCGUCUUCGCCGCCGCCGUUUCACUUCGGUUAUCUCAUCACCAUCAAGCUCUCCGCCGACAACUACAUCUUCUGGCGUGCGCAGGUUCUCCCGCUCUUGGGGAGUCACUACCUGCUAGGCUACGUCGACGGAUCGCUUCCCUGCCCACCCGCACUGGUAGACAGCGUGCACGGUCCGGUCUACAAUCCGGCCCAUCGCGUCUGGACGGGGCAGGACCAGGCGAACCUCUCCUCCAUCCAGGGGUCGCUCUCGCCGGCAGUUGCCGGACUUGUUGUCUUCGCGAAGACGUCUCAUGAGGCCUGGACCAUCCUUGAGCGAACCUUUGCAGCGUAG
rnacentral:rRNA from 1 species